UACGGAGGGUGCGAGCGUUGUCCGGAAUCACUGGGCGUAAAGGGCGCGUAGGCGGCUAGAUAAGUCUGCUCUGAAAGCCCGGGGCUCAACCCCGGGAGGCGGGUGGAUACUGUCUAGCUCGAGUCCGGAAGAGGAGUGUGGAAUUCCUGGUGUAGCGGUGAAAUGCGCAGAUAUCAGGAGGAACACCAAUGGCGAAGGCAGCACUCUGGGACGUGACUGACGCUGAGACGCGAAAGCGUGGGGAGCAAACAGG
rnacentral:rRNA from 1 species